UACAGGGGGUGCAAACGUUGCUCGGAAUUAUUGGGCGUAAAGCGCACGUAGGCGGUCUGUUAUGUCGGAUGUGAAAGCCCUUGGCUCAACUGAGGAAGUGCAUCCGAAACUGGCAGGCUGGAGUACGUAAGAGGGUCGCGGAAUUCCCGGUGUAGAGGUGAAAUUCGUAGAUAUCGGGAGGAACACCGGUGGCGAAGGCGGCGACCUGGGACGAUACUGACGCUGAGGUGCGAAAGCGUGGGGAGCGAACAGG
rnacentral:rRNA from 1 species